GGGCCCGCACAAGUGGUGGAGCAUGUGGUUUAAUUCGAUGCAACGCGAAGAACCUUACCAACCCUUGAAAUCUAGCGAAGUUCACAGAGAUGAGAAUGUGCCUUCGGGAACGCUAUGACAGGUGUUGCAUGGCUGUCGUCAGCUCGUGUCGUGAGAUGUAUGGUUAAGUCCAGUAACGAGCGCAACCCCUAUCCUUAUUUGCCAGCGCGUUAAGGCGGGAACUAUAGGGAGACUGCCGGGUGAAACCCGGAGGAAGGCGGGGACGAGGUCAAGUCAUCAUGGCCCUUACGUCCUGGCUACACACGUGCUACAAUGGUCGGUACAGAGAGCAGCCACUACGCGAGUAGGAGCGA
rnacentral:rRNA from 1 species